GGAGAAGCAUCCAUACAACAGAGAAUACCUGGGCUUCUACGCAUUAGACAGCCAUCUUUUGUCCCCUAAUGUCCAUGGUCUUCUAGUUCAGUUUUAUCACAGCAUUGAGUUUGAAGUGUCCAACCUGCGUCCAGGAGAAUCCCCAGAAAAACUAGAUGCCACCAUGUUUGUGAAAGUACACCAGGUCAAUGUGACCAGAGGUUGGCAGAGAGACUU